GACAGUUUCGUGAAUCACACGAACUAAGACCUGAGCCCUAGCUAAAUGAAACUCGCCGCCUGCCGCCCAGACAAAACGCGAUGCGCCCUUCCAAGCGCAUCUCCCUUCUCCGGCAAUCGCCUUGGAUCUGCGUUGUGCAGGCUGGCCGGCCGGCCGGCUUGCGGAUCUAUGGCCCUUGCAAUUUGUAUCUGGGACGCUGUUUCUGCGCGAUCGAGAAGUGAAAUCUUGGAUACCAUCCCUAAUGAAUGAUAGUUAAAGCUUCCAUGGAAAAAAUUGUUGUGCGAUGAAAUGGAGGGGAGCACGAUGGCCGAAGAGGACGUUGACUGGACAUAGGUGUUUGAUCGGGGCGCACACGACCGAAUAUCAUCUGAUCCAGCAAUCUACACGCGGCAAGCACCCAAUGGAGAUCUCCGGUGGAGCCUUCCAUGACUCUUCAAUGGCCAGAUCAAUGAGGAACGACAUCAAACAGAACACCGUCUUGGCGCUAGAAGAACCCUAGGACCAGCACGGGAGGGGAACAGAUCUGGGUCAGGAAGCCUAGAUCCGCCGCCAACCAGCAACCAUGGUCGGCCCCCACGCUGCCCUCGCAGCCGUGGUGGCACAGCCGCCGCCGGAUCCCACGGGUCCGUCGCCCCAGCGCUCCAUCUCCGCCGUCAUGCCGGGCGCCCAUGGGCGCCACCAUGCCUUGGCCAGCGGCCCCCACACGAGAGUGGGAGGAGAGCCCGGCGUCCGCUGUUCGCCGGGCGAGCUUUGCUCACUUGCCUCCUCCGGCAGCAGCGGGGAAGGGGGAUCGGGGGCGGUGGCGGCGGCUAGGGUUCGCCCGAGCCGCCCCCCUGAGGUGACGCGAGCGAAGGGUGAGAAGUUGUCCCUCACUUAGGUUUUCAAACUCAGAGUCUAUAUAUCUAAUAUCGAGAGUUUCUAAAAGGCCGAUUUAGGAUAAAAUGAUAGUCAGAUCAUCUCAAUUUUCUGCCACUGCCACAUAAGCAGAA